GACGAACGCUGGCGGCGUGCUUAGCACUUGCAAGUCGAACGGAAAGGCCCUGCUUUUGUGGGGUGCUCGAGUGGCGAACGGGUGAGUAACACGUGAGUAACCUGCCCUUGACUUUGGGAUAACUUCAGGAAACUGGGGCUAAUACCGGAUAGGAGCUCCUGCUGCAUGGUGGGGGUUGGAAAGUUUCGGCGGUUGGGGAUGGACUCGCGGCUUAUCAGCUUGUUGGUGGGGUAGUGGCUUACCAAGGCUUUGACGGGUAGCCGGCCUGAGAGGGUGACCGGCCACAUUGGGACUGAGAUACGGCCCAGACUCCUACGGGAGGCAGCAGUGGGGAAUAUUGCACAAUGGGCGGAAGCCUGAUGCAGCAACGCCGCGUGCGGGAUGACGGCCUUCGGGUUGUAAACCGCUUUCGCCUGUGACGAAGCGUGAGUGACGGUAAUGGGUAAAGAAGCACCGGCUAACUACGUG
rnacentral:rRNA from 1 species